CAGCUCAGCGGUUGAACACUCGCUUCACAAGCGAUAGGUCGGUGGUUCGAGCCCACCAGGG
rnacentral:tRNA from 1 species